rnacentral:rRNA from 7 species
CCAGAGUUUGAUUUCUGGCUCAGGACGAACGCUGGCGGCGUGCUUAACACAUGCAAGUCGAACGAUGAAGCCUUCGGGUGGAUUAGUGGCGAACGGGUGAGUAACACGUGGGUGAUCUGCCUCGUACUCUGGGAUAAGCCUGGGAAACUGGGUCUAAUACCGGAUAGGACCGUGCCUCGCAUGGGGUGUGGUGGAAAGAUUUAUCGGUGCGAGAUGGGCCCGCGGCCUAUCAGCUUGUUGGUGGGGUAAUGGCCUACCAAGGCGACGACGGGUAGCCGGCCUGAGAGGGCGACCGGCCACACUGGGACUGAGACACGGCCCAGACUCCUACGGGAGGCAGCAGUGGGGAAUAUUGCACAAUGGGCGGAAGCCUGAUGCAGCGACGCCGCGUGCGGGAUGACGGCCUUCGGGUUGAACUAAAUUUCGACAGGGACGAAGGGGAACUGACGGUACCUGUAGAAGAAGCACCGGCCAACUACGUGCCAGCAGCCGCGGUAAUACGUAGGGUGCGAGCGUUGUCCGGAAUUACUGGGCGUAAAGAGCUUGUAGGCGGUUCGUCGCGUCGAUCGUGAAAACGUGUAGCUCAACUGCACGCUUGCGGUCGAUACGGGCGGGCUAGAGUACUGCAGGGGAGACUGGAAUUCCUGGUGUAGCGGUGAAAUGCGCAGAUAUCAGGAGGAACACCGGUGGCGAAGGCGGGUCUCUGGGCAGUAACUGACGCUGAGAAGCGAAAGCGUGGGUAGCGAACAGGAUUAGAUACCCUGGUAGUCCACGCCGUAAACGGUGGGCGCUAGGUGUGGGGUUCCUUCCACGGGCUCCGUGCCGUAGCCAACGCAUAAGCGC